UACGUAGGGGGCUAGCGUUGUCCGGAUUUAUUGGGCGUAAAGAGCUCGUAGGCGGUUUGUCACGUCGGAUGUGAAAUCCCGGGGCUUAACCUCGGGUCUGCAUUCGAUACGGGCUGACUAGAGUUCGGUAGGGGAGACUGGAAUUCCUGGUGUAGCGGUGAAAUGCGUAGAGAUCGGAAAGAACACCAACGGCGAAAGCACGCUGCUGGGCCGACACUGACACUGAGAGACGAAAGCUAGGGGAGCGAAUGGG
rnacentral:rRNA from 1 species